UACGAAGGGGGCUAGCGUUGCUCGGAAUCACUGGGCGUAAAGCGCACGUAGGCGGCUUCUUAAGUCAGGGGUGAAAUCCUGGAGUUCAACUCCAGAACUGCCUUUGAUACUGAGGAGCUCGAGUCCGGGAGAGGUGAGUGGAACUCCGAGUGUAGAGGUGAAAUUCGUAGAUAUUCGGAAGAACACCAGUGGCGAAGGCGGCUCACUGGCCCGGUACUGACGCUGAGGUGCGAAAGCGUGGGGAGCAAACAGG
rnacentral:rRNA from 1 species